AUGUUUAGCUGACAGAGAGAUACCAAGGUCAUAAAGGGUGGUUUUCCCAGGGUGAGACUAAUUCACUGGACUAAUAUUCAGACCUCUGUCAUUCCCCAAAUGAGGAAAACUUUUGUUUGUAUCAUUUGCUGUAGUAGGGGGACUGUGUUCAUGUCUUAUCCCAUA